rnacentral:rRNA from 1 species
UGCGUAGGCGGAAUGAUAAGUUAGUGGUGAAAGCCCCCGGCUCAACCGGGGAACUGCCAUUAAUACUGUCAUUCUUGAGUAUAGUUGAAGUGGGCGGAAUGUAUCAUGUAGCGGUGAAAUGCUUAGAUAUGAUACAGAACACCGAUAGCGUAGGCAGCUUGCUAAACUAUAGCUGACGCUCAGGCACGAAAGCGUGGGGAGCAAACAGGAUUAGAUACCCUGGUAGUCC